rnacentral:rRNA from 1 species
CCUACGGGACGCAGCAGUAGGGAAUAUUGCUCAAUGGGGGAAACCCUGAAGCAGCAACGCCGCGUGGAGGAUGAAGGUUUUCGGAUUGUAAACUCCUUUUGUUAGAGAAGAUAAUGACGGUAUCUAACGAAUAAGCACCGGCUAACUCCGUGCCAGCAGCCGCGGUAAUACGGAGGGUGCAAGCGUUGUUCGGAAUGACUGGGCGUAAAGGGUGUGUAGGCGGUGUAGCAAGUUAGAAGUGAAAUACCUAGAGCUUAACUCAGGUGCUGCUUCUAAAACUGCUAUACUUGAGUGCAGUAGAGGAA